AUCCUUUUGUAGUUCAUAAGCAAGAUGAUUGUGUUUUCACAAACGUGUGAGAUAUGCUUCCCUCAAACCCUGUUACAAUGACUGUGUGCUCUCUACAUAAAA